GGCGCUUGGAGCUGGUACCAGGCUUUUGCGGCGACAAAUAAAACGACCCGGAUUAGUGAAGACAGGUAGCGUGUGUUUGACUAAUAAUGACCCCCGGUUUCACCUCCACCAGUCACGGGAAAGGGGGCACACGGGAGGAAAGCUAAUGGCCUUAGGUGAGCCUGUCAGGCCGCUCCACGGCGUCUUCGUCACCAGUCUCCUGGCAGCCAGUUACCUGCGACCGGCUUAGAAUACCUGCUCCUGCGGACGCGAAGGGGAGGUGGCCCCCCUCUUCUGCCUCGCUCGUGCUUAAGCUUUUUAAAAGACCCCCUCGACCAGCUCCUGGUAGAAACGUCAGAUGCGUUAGGAUGGAGGCGUUUUUCCCUAAGAGCUUUCUCGUGCACCUUUUCCCAUCGACUUUGUAAAACCUGCUGGCCUUUUGGGUGGAGCUGCCUGCUGCAACCUAGAGGCCCACUCAGGCCUCAGACGCUCACAUUUGCAUAUGCCGCAGGACCUAUUUCUGGGCGCCGGGGACUGCUGCCCACACACACAAUCUGCCUCCUCUCCCGGCAGGGCCUCCGCUUUCCCACAACUCCAGCUUCUCCGGAGAGACGGGGGUGCGCAAAGCUGCCGUCAGAAGUUGCCGAGGCCCCAGUGAGAAGUCCCUGAGUGGUGACGUUGGGGCAGACGAGUCAUGGAGGAAAGGAUUCCACCUCUUUUGCAUCUGGGGCUGCUGGCUUUUUCCCUCCCCUGUGAUUGACAGUCAGCUUCCUUGCCUGUAGCAGGACUGGGUCCCAGUGUGGGAUGGAAGCGCAGGCUUCCCUCCUGACUGGAGGGGGCUGGGACCACGUGGGCACCAGCCUGGCCUGUCUGAUGUGACCAGCUGCCGUAAUGGGAAAGGAAUAACCAUGGCCAGUUACAGCCAGGCAGGCCAGUUUGCGUGUUCCUUCUCUGUUCUGUGAUGCUAUGAUGCCAGGGGAUGUUUGGGGUACAGAUACCAAUGCUCACUCAGUCCAUGUUCUACUGGGGGCAUUUCGGCAGCCUCGGUGCUCAAUCUUUACAUUGUCCUUUCUUU